CACCUCUAGCAUUACCAGUAUUAGAGGCACUGCCUGCCCAGUGACAUUAGUUAAACGGCCGCGGUAUCCUGACCGUGCAAAGGUAGCAUAAUCAUUUGUUCCUUAAUUAGGGACUUGUAUGAAUGGCCCCACGAGGGUUUAACUGUCUCUUACUUUUAAUCAGUGAAAUUGACCUUCCCGUGAAGAGGCGGGAAUACAAAAAUAAGACGAGAAGACCCUAUGGAGCUUAAAUUAAUUUGUUCAACAGAAUUUAAUUAUAGCCCAAUAGGAACAAAAAUAUUCUAACUGAACAAUAAAUUUUGGUUGGGGUGACCUCGGAGUAUAACAUAACCUCCGAGCAAUUAAACCAAGACUUACCAGUCAAGGCUAUAUAACUUAUUGAUCCAAUCUUAUUGAUCAACGAAACAAGUUACCCUAGGGAUAACAGCGCAAUCCUAUUUAAGAGUUCAUAUCGACAAUAGGGUUUACGACCUCGAUGUUGGAUCAGGACACCCAAAUGGUGCAGCAGCUAUUAAAGGUUCGUUUGUUCAACG
rnacentral:rRNA from 1 species